GGGGUCAUAGUAUAAAUGGUAAAACUAGGACUUUGCACGUCUUCGAUUCAGGUUCAAUUCCUGAUGACUCCA